rnacentral:rRNA from 1 species
CGGAUUCAUUGGGCGUAAAGGGUGCGUAGGCGGCGCGGUAAGUCGGGUGCGAAAUCUCGGAGCUUAACUCCGAAACUGCAUUCGAUACUGCCGUGCUUGAGGACUGGAGAGGAGACUGGAAUUUACGGUGUAGCGGUGAAAUGCGUAGAUAUCGUAAGGAAGACCAGUGGCGAAGGCGGGUCUCUGGACAGUUCCUGACGCUGAGGCACGAAGGUCAGGGGAGCAAACGGG